GGGCAUAGCUCAGUGGUAGAGUGCAUGCUUAGCAUGCGUGAGGUCCUGGGUUCAAUCCCCAGUACCUCCA
rnacentral:tRNA from 1 species